rnacentral:lncRNA from 1 species
CUCCAAAUUUGGAAGAGCUUUCGUGGAUCCUAAUUGUUGUUGGAUCAAUGCAGUCACUGCUACCAAAUGUUUGGAAUAUAUCUGGUUCUUGAAACUGGCUUUGACAUCUGUCUUCUAAUUCUGUGAUUCUUGGAUCUCUAAUACUCGUUAUUCCCUACAGCCACGCAGGCAAUGCAUUUCUUUAGUAAAAACAAGCAAACCAAAUUUAUCUCAACUCCAGGAGUUAGGACUCAGAAAACACUGCUCUCCGUACCUAAACUUACAUACCUUGAGGAUCCUGGCAAGUUAUGGCUCCACAAUAUCGUAUUAAAUGCACCUUGUGGACAAAGGUAGUUCAAGUAUUAUAAAUAUCUUUAAGAGCACUGAUCUUGACAGAGAAAGAAGGAAGAGCAUUUUGUACAGCAAGGACUUCGAGGUAACGGUUAUUUGUAUUGUUAAGUGCCAGCUUGCAAUUUAGAUGUUCCACGUGUAAAACAUUAUCUUCCAGGAAAACUAAGUCAGCAAGUCAAAGGGUACUAAUUACACCUUGUGUGGCUGACAGUUAUCUCCUCUAUUGAGUUGACUACUGCGAUUGGAUCUCAUUUUUCUACAGAGUGGGAAAAAUAUUGCCAAAGUAAAUUUUUGUGACUGUAUUGUUUCAAGGUGAAUGUAUCAAGAUUGUCUAACUAGACCUUACAUUGAACUAUUACAGUAUUUCUGUCUUCAGGCAGUGAGAGUCAUCAUUAUAUACUCUCAAGGUGAGACUAAUUUCAACUGCUGGCUCCAUACAGGCCAAGCGUGUCAUUCCUCACUGUAUGCAAACCGAUAUCAUGUAAAGAAAGCACUUUGCAUUUGGCAGUUUCUGGUUGUCUAGGAAAUUCUCUGAAAGCAGAAAUGCUAAUGGUAGUGACUGUUCUUCCCCAGUCUUUCUAGUCAUGAGGCUGUAACCAGUUUUGCAGUGUGUGUUCCUGUUCCUGCAGGCCAAAGAUUUCUGGUGGGGAGUGCAAAGCAAGGGGCUUCUGGAGGAGAAUCCUCAGUGAUGCUUGUAUGGUUCAAGAUGAUUCUCCAACUUCAGCAGUGAGCUAUGUUCAGUUGUGGAUGCUAUAUCUUUUUAGUCUGUCAAGAUAUGUGAAGGCUGCUCUGAAAAUGAUGACUCCUGUGCCUCC